UAGUAUAUACAUUUACUUUUGUGACACAUUGUUCCUUUAUUAAAAAAUAUUUUAAUUUAUUUAAAACUUCAAAUAUGGUUCGAAAUCGUUUGAAAUCGCCUUCAUCGGUCAAUUUGGAUAAAAAUCAAAAUUUCAAUUGUUUCGUGCGCGUAAUUGGCUAACUAAUCGAAUAGCCUUAAACUUUCUUUAAGCUGUAUUGUGAGCUUUCUUCAACACAAAAGAGUUAUGUGACUGCCUCUACAACUGCAUGAAAUUAAACAACCCAGUAAUUUUGAUCUCAUAAAAUGGCUUCCAAAAGACAGAAGUUUGAAUUCCAAGAUCCAACUAUACCGAAUAUGAGUGCUAAGUCCAAGAUCUGAAGGAAUGGAAGUGCCCUUAUUAAGAUGCGUCCGUUAGAUAAUUAACAAACCUCUCCAAACCGCACAACCACCACACCAGUUAGCUAGCCAGCUAGUCAGCCCAGGGCCCAACCAGGCCAAACAAAACCCUAGCCAAGCCAACCAAACCACCCACCCACCCCAAAUCUACAUGAUGAUCAAAUGUGAGCACAUUAAAAACUUUUCACUUUGCAUCAACAAAAAUCCCCCACAAUCAUCACCAGUGUGCCUCGUCCACAAGCACGCACCAAGUACAGGCACAGGCAUCACAUAGAUAGAUGUAUCUCAAUAUGUGCGCUUUGGCCUACCUAACCCCGGAGCAUACUCCAGACCAAAAGAUACAAACACACUAUACGACGGAUAGUUCGGAUCGGAGUCUGUUCUGUUCAUAGAGCAGACCCAGAGAUACAAACAAAACAAUUCAAACAGAUAUUAUUCACCUAGCCAAGCAUAGAGGAGGCAUGCCUCUGGUUAUUAUUACCUUCUAUACCUUGCUUCGUAUUAUACAUCAGCGACUCUCUGCAGAAUGUGUAUCGAUACAGUGCAUCUGUGCAUAGUUGCAUCCAACAAAACAGCAAAAAAAAAAAAAAACAACUAUCGCACGGAUAUGUGUAGUUGUAUGUGCGCUACCCCAACCUCCAGGUCCAUCAACCGAUCGAACUUGGACAAACUUCACACUGAGCUGAACUGAACUGAGUUGAGGCUUGCCCAUGGGAAAAGCUGAUGAUAUACCUAGAUACCUUGCCUUACUCUACCCUACCCGAAACCAUACCAUUAUUAUCUACCUUGUUGGUCAGAUAGUUUUGUGGAGAGAAUAUGUUUUGCUGUAGCAUUAAAAAUAAAGUACAAAAAAAAAAAAAAGACUAAGAGAAAAACAAAAAUGAAAAAUAGUUUUGACGACUGUUUAUUUGUUUAGGCUUAGAUGUUUUUGUUAGAUGUUUUUGCCGGGUGGUAAUUUCAGGUAAUUUACUUAUCUUUUCAACUUUAAAUGUGUUUAAAAAAAAAGUUCAGUCAGGUUGUUUGGGAUGAAUAUGAAUAAUGAUGGACACAAAAUGUUUUUGUAACUACUUAAAUUUUUGUAUCCUAGCAGCAAUCAGGUGGGAAGGUAAUAUUUUAUUAAAAUAUGUGAAAAUGGAUAAAAGGUGAAAUAUGUUAUAUGGUAUAAUGUUUUUUUUUUUAAAGCUUUGAAAAUGAGACAAAAUUUCUGGCUUUUCCAAAUUGGAUGAUUUCAUUUUUAUGAAAAAAAAAAAAUCAUGGAUGACUUAGGUGUUUGGGCCUCAAUCAAUUAAUUUUUUUGGACCAAAAAUAACGGUAUUUGUCAUAAUUAGGAUUUUGGAAAAACUUAACUUUUUCAAAAACGGCUCCAACGAUUUUGUUAAAAAAAAUUCAUACAGUCUAGGGAACAUUUUUUUUCGAAAAUCAUUUUACUAACGGUAGGUACCUGCCAUGGAACGAUGGAACCGUUUUUUUUUUUUUAAAUCAAGUUUUCUUCAAAACUACUUAUUCGAUUUCAGCGACAUUUUUAUUUACAAAAGCACUUAUAUAAUUUAAAUAUACAUAUAUCCUAAGCCAAAA